AUAACAGCACCUCAUGUGGAUUCAGGGAGAGCUGAAGUCCCUGAUAUCCAAGGCGACCAAGUACUGGGGAUAAUUCCACCAGCAGUGGAGGUGGCUAGGGGGGGGGAGGAGGAGGAGGAGAUGCCGCCUUUUGAGGAAGAGGAGGGGGAGUUAUUGGUUGACGAAGCAUUGCCAAGGGAGGAAGAAGAGGAGGUGCCUAUAGUGGAAUAUCGAGAUCAGGGGACACAAACGGGACCAUUUCUGCAGCCGGUGUUUGAUGAACUUGCA